rnacentral:rRNA from 1 species
GACGUAGGGGGCGAGCGUUGUCCGGAUUUACUGGGCGUAAAGCGCGCGUAGGCGGCCCGUUAAGUCGGAUGUGAAAACCCGGGGCUCAACCCCGGAACUGCAUCCGAUACUGCCGUGCUAGAGGAUUGGAGAGGUAGCUGGAAUUCCUGGUGUAGCGGUGAAAUGCGCAGAUAUCAGGAAGAACACCAGUGGCGAAGGCGGCUAUCUGGACGGUUUCUGACGCUAAGACGCGAAAGCGUGGGGAGCAAACAGG